GUAAUGUUCCCAAAUCAGGUAAUGUAACAACUCUUCUGGUUUUCAAGGCAAAAUGAAUCAUACAGAGAUAUCAUCGUGACUGGGCCUCGAAGGGGUGACAUUCUUUCUCACUUCUAAAGAAAAUUAAAUUACUAUUUUUAAUCUUACUCCCAAGAUUAAUCUGGGAGUGUGAUCUGUUUGUGUCAGAACAACGGCACUGGCAUGAGCAGAACUACUGACUAUUAAAACUUAAUUCCCUUCUGUCUGUGGUACUAAUAGAAAUGCUUAGGAUAUGCCAUCUAUUUUCAUUAAAAAUAUUCAUCUGAUAUCUGCUUACAUUUCUCUCCCAGUGUAGCCUUGAAUUGACAAUUCACAGCUGUUUCCUGGCAAUGCUGUAUUAUUAUUAACGUUCUGCCUUUUCUCUUUGGCUACUGCAGAAAUAACUGAAUUAGUCAAACCCCUCUGGAUGACAGAUGACAGCAACAUAAACAAGAGGAAAUGCCUGAAAUGAAGGCCCUGGAACAGGGGAAUCAACAGACCGCCCAGAGUCACACCUGAGGAUGCAUGGGACAGCCAACGGUCUGAAAACUCAGGUAUGAAAGAUGAGAGGCUAGUAGGUGACAGCCUACGAAUAUGGACCAGUCGUUUGGAUUCUGUAUGAAAACUGGAUAGAGGUAAAAAGAACUCCCAGCAGCAGAAGAUCCCUGGUUUGUUCCUUGUCAGGCAGAAGGAUGUUAAGGAUGGCAGAAACAAGCAGAUCAUGGCCAGGGAGGUGAACAAGUUGCAUGAAGACCUGGAGCAGGUGGAGAAAAGCCAGG